AAGCUCACUCACCGCCAAACAGGCCUUUCUGUUCAGUGGCGAGUGAGCCCAUGGUCCCCAUGGGGGGGGGCCUCCAUGGUGCCCUCGGGGACCGUGCGCCCAAAGCGGGCGCUUCAGUAGCCUCCGCAUUGGGCUGGCCCUGGCUGUAUCACUUCAGGCCCCUUCUACACUGUCAUAUAAUCCAGAUUGUCAAAGUAGAUAAUCCACAUUAUCUACUUUGAACUUGAUUAUAUGAGUCUACACUGGCAUAUAAUCCAGUUCAAAUCUGAUAACCUGGAUUUUAUAUGGCAGUGUAGAUGGGGCUCUAGACUGCAGAUGGUGGUUUGAAGGUCUCCUUUCAUUCAAUCCUCUUUGCAUAUAGAUCAAGGUGUCGCAGCUAUCAAACUGGGGUUCCAAACAUUCAACCCCUUCUGCAGAAGCUGCACCCUUCAUUCAAGGAGAAAGGCCAAAAACAAACUGUCUUUUAGCAAAGAAAGUUUUAUAUGAAAAUAUAUACAAACACAACAGUCCUUGGCUUUUAUCAACUGCUUUCAAACGGCGAAACAAAAUGUUCUUAUCUUCAAGCUUUCAAGCUCUAACCUUUCAAACUCUCUGGUUUCCAGACUCUCUGUCUUCAAACUCUCUUCAGCUCCACUCCAACAGCUCUCCAUCCUCAACAUCAUCGUCAUCGCCAUCUUCAUUAUGAACAUCAACUCAAGAUUUACUCAGUCUCUAUUAAUAGUCUUAAGCAGGUGGCUUGAUUGCUGCUGGUCAUACAUGGAUAGGACAUGAUUCUUACAAAUACUUACCCAUUUUCAUAUAAGAAAUGACCUAAAUAAUAUAAAACUCUGACACAAGGAGGGAGUGGGCUUCCCACUGAAAGGAUGUUUCCCCUUUCCAAUAGCACUUCCCAAGCAUUUAAAUUCUAACAUCCAUCUGAUGUAAUAAUACAGCCCAGGAAUGGACUUUUUUCUGGGUGGUUGACGUUCAUCUUCUGUAGUUCUCACAAAGUGGAUUAAAAAUACAUUUCCUUCCUUGGGGUAUUUUCACAUGCGGAUUCCUCCAUGCAUAACAAUCUUUUUGUAGUUCUUUUCAAGGAGUCUCACAGCAUAAUGCAUCCUGCAGUGUGCAGUCUUGUUCAGUUCAUGUCUGCCCAGAAGUAAGUUCUCUGGCAUUUAGUAGGGUUUGCGUCCAAAUGAAUGUGUUUGGAUUGGAUGGCUCUAAAUAUCCUUUUCAAACUGCCUGUUUUGUGUUUGUUUUAAGGAAAGCAAUUGUAUGGUUGUCAAUCAGAGAAAAAAACUGCUAACCAUAGUGUUAUACUAAUUUUAUUGGAACAUAAGCAUUAGAAUUAACACAUGAAUCAAAACAAUUCAUUACAUAGGUUCAUGAAAAGCAUGUGUUGACUAUAUAAGGGCUUAUGAAGGCAGAAGCAUGGAGUGGGUACAUUAUUCUGGAAUCACAAAUAUAUAGGGCAACCUCCCAGAUUGGGUGAGAGGUAUGGAAUAUACAUUGUCAGAACCAAAAUAGGAAACUACUUCUGUCUUCAGGCAUGGAAAGGUGGCUGGAAGCCCUUUCCAGAGCCCGGUCUUGCAACUUCCCUUUUCCCCAAUCAGAGCAGGGUAUCCUCUUCAUGCCUGAAGACAGGAUUACUGGAUUGCUUCAUUCCCUGAAAACACAUACAGCAGUCCCAUCUGGACUUGGAGUCUUUUUUUUUUCUCACCUUGCUUGCUAGGAGCCCCCGGUGGCACAGCACAGCCCCCGGUGGCACAGCAGAUUACACUGCUGAGCUGCUGAAUUUGCUGACCGGUGAUUCAAAUCCGGAGAGCAGGGUGAGCUCCUGCUGUUAGUCCCAGCUUCUGCCAACCUAGCAGUUCAAAAAUAUGCAAAUGUGAGUAGAUCAAUAGGUAUCGCUCCGGAGGGAAGGAAACAGAACUCCAUGCAGUCAUGCUGGCCACACGACCUUGGAGGUGUCUUUGGACAACACUGGCUCUUUGGCUUAGAAAUGGAGAUGAGCACCAACCCCCAGAGAUGGACACGACUAGACUUAAUAUCAGGGGGAAACCUUUACCAAAACCCUUGCUUGCUAGGUAGCAGGGCAGUCCAAUACUUGCUUUCCCAAUCUCUUGCAGUGUAGUCUCACAAGGUUUGCAGAGAGACUGGGAAGACCAGGCAAAACUCAAAUUCCUGUGAAAUACAGCAGCCAUGGAGAUGAGAAAUCAGUGAAUACAAAUCCAUAGAAGCCAUAGGUGCAGAUAUGGAGGGCUGACUGUAAUCUUUAAAGUACUUCACGAUGCCUUGUUGUACCAUUCCUCUAAUCUUAUUUAGGGAAGAAGUAGAUACCUAAUAUGAAGAUACAUUAGAUGUUGGAAAGUAAGGAUGUGCUGGCAGAUCAAUCCAGCAGCAGAACUGUUCUACUUGUUAAGAUCUCACACCCUCCAACUGUCCCGAUUUCACUCUCAUUCUUUCAAAUUCACCCUUUGUUCUCAGCUCCCUUUCUGUUAACUUGAGUUCUGAGUUUAAAAAACAAGAUGGAGAUGUGUGAGGCAAGCGAUGAACAAUUAUGAUAUUUUCAGUCCUCUACCAGACCAAUGACACAUAGCCACAAAGUUAGGACCUUAUUGGACAAAGAUGGGAAACCAACAUAUAAGCAUGACCGUUUCCUUUGGUGAUGGUCCCUAUCACACUUUAACUGUUGUCAGUGUGCUACCUCUUAGGACAGUGGUUCGCAACCUGGGGUCCCCAGAUGUUUUUGGCCUACAACUCCCAGAAAUCCCAGUCAGUUUACCAGCUGUUAGGAUUUCUGGAAGCCCUUUUCUAUUGAAAGAUGAAAUUUGUGACUAGUCCGAGAUUGUGACAUGGUGCUAUAAUCUAUCUAGUGCAGCCAUGGGCAAACUUCAAGCCUUCCAGGUGUUGUGGACUUCAACUCCCACAAUUCCUAACAGCCAAUAGUGCAAAGAUCCCAGAAGUCUUUCUGCUGUCACGCGGUAACAUCAGUGGUGGGAUUAUCCUCUUCUUUCACUCUCCUUUCACUGUAAAAUAAAGGUUUUAUUUUAUUUUACUUUUACAUUGUGGAAUUGUGAAGUGAAGUGUCUAUAAGAUUUUUUUUUAAAAUCAAAAGUGGCACAAUGGGAAGUUACAUGUGUCACCUAGAGGCGUAGCCAAGGGACUUCACACUUCUGAAGCAUUACGGUUGUGCUAUAUCAGCAAUUGGGGUCACCAUGCUGAUAAAUUGUGCUAUUCCUGAUCAUGUUAAUUGCACGCGAUAGCAAUACCCUGUGAUGAAGUCCUUGGGACAAGUUCUAACCCCUGAUGAAUAAGCAUAGUUUGGAAUCAGCAUAGCUUCAACUUGUCAAAGGCACCUUUGACUGAUGAAUGUGCUUCAAAUAUUCACAUUUAACUUUUGCAUUAAAAUAAAUGUCGCCAGAGUCCCCAAUGGUGCAGUGGGAUAAAGUGCUGAGCUACUGAACUUGCUGACCAAAAGGUCGGCAGUUUGAAUCCGGGGAGCAGGGUGAGCUCCCACUGUUAGCACCAGCUUCUGCCAACCUAGCAAUUCGAAAACAUACAAAUGUGAGUAUAUCAAUAGAUACCUUUCCGGCGGGAAGGUAACAAUGCUUCAUGCAGUCAUACCAUCCACAUGACUUUGAAGGUGUCUACGGACAACGCUGGCUCUUUGGCUUAGAAAUGGAGAUGAGCACCAAUCCUCAGAGUCGGACACGACUAGGCUUAAUGUCAAGGGAAAACCUUUACCGUUACCUAAAUGUCUCCUAAUUCUUCUUCACUUUAAGGCUUUUCAGAAUCUUUUAUAUAAAAUGUUCAAGAAUUUUUUUGAAAGAUUUCCAGUCAUGAAUAACACAAGAAAUCAUUUAAAUGAUAGGAACUAUUUUUGAGUUGUCCUGCUCUAAGGUUUUACUGCAAACUAAGCCAGGAUUCCUGUUAAGGUGACAGCAUCUUCAACAUUAGAAAUCCCUAUAGUUUGGGAAAAUAUUUGCUCUGGGUUGGAAAUUAGGGUUUCUAGCUCUUCAAACAGUCAAACAGUUUGCAUAAAUAUCAAAACCAGAAAUUUUUAUAUCUAGAAUAAUAUAUAACAGUUUUGUCCAAUUGUGAGUCACCCCAAAUGCAAGUGUUAAAACUGGCAUGUUGUGGUUUUGGUUAGGCCUAUGAAUUUCCUUAUUAUGCUGCCUCUUAAGUAAGACCGUUAAGUCUGGGAAAUGCAGAUGUUUGUGGUUUAAUUAAAAUAAAAAACUAUUCAUUUCCUGACAUGAGGUCUGGUCAUUGUAAAAGUACUCCUGUUACAGAGAAGUUAAGAUCACAUAAUUUUACUACCGUAUUUCAUCGAUUGUAAGACACCCGCCAUUCUAAGAUGCAUCUCUUUUUAUGAGCCUCCAUUUUGGGAAAUGUUUUUUAAAAUGUGCUACUGGGCGAGGAGGGGGAUCAAGAAGACAUAGGAAGCGGUUGUUAUUCUGGCUGCCUAACAUGUUCCUGUCUUCAUCCCAAUUUCACUUUUUUGUUUCUCUACCCAGCUGUUCUAGUCAGUCCCACUAAAGCAGUAGUUCUCAAUCUGUGGGUUCCCAGGUGUUUUGGCCUACAACUCCCAGAAAUCCCAGCCAGUUUACCAGCUGUUUGGAUAUCUGGAAGCUGGAAGUCAAAACAUCUGGGGACCCACAGGUUGAGAACUACUGCACUAAAGCCUUCCCAACCCCAGACCCAAUACUGUUGCUCUGCUGCCUUUCCCACCAUUACUAUCUCCUGCUACUGGCUCGGUGCAGCUGAUAUGUAUGGCUUCUCCACUCCAUGCUGCCACUAUUUGUUGCUUCCAUGCCUUAGUAUUGCAGAGUUGUUGUUGUUGUUUUAAAAAAGAGGACAGAGUGAUAGCCUGGAAAAGAGGAGCCACGUGUAUCAAACACGUUGAGUCAGCAGCGAAAGGUGACAGCAGCAUGAAAGGCAGCAGGGCAGCAGUAUCGGGUGCAGGGUUGGGAAGGCUUUCUGGGGACUAGCCAGGACAGAUAAAGCAGUAAAGUAAAGCUACUACUGCCUCCAAUCUUUAUGGCUGCCGCUUUCUCUCAUCAACCACCAUUCCUGAUCCUCCUCCCACUGCAAAUCUGAGGACCUCAUCACAGCCUCCAUGGUGAAUCAGCUGGGCAGGGAGGCAAUCCCGGCACCCAUGCCACCUGGCCAGCCAUGACGCUUCCCCGUUACAUGUGGAAAGCGUUGCCCCACGGCUUCCCCUUGUUGUGACUCAGUUUGACUCUAGGAUUGACUCUGGUGAGGAAGGAGGGGUCCAGAUUCAGAAUCUCCGUGAAAGGCCUGUAGUGUUUGAAGAUGAUGAGCAGAGGGUGCAGAUUCAGUUUCCCACAGGGAGGGCUGGAGUUGAUGACCCUGAAACUACUGAAGCCAGCUAGGUGCAAAUUGACAUGGGAAAGGAGGAAGGGAGGAUAGAAGGCUGCCAGCUUAAUAAUGAAUCUCAGCAAAAUAACGAGCAAGCUGACCUUGACAGGAUGGGCUCCUUAGAUAGAGCUGAGUGUUUGGAAUUGAGGGUACGGCAAAGUACAAGAACUGCAAACAGACAGGGGGAGGUGAGAGGGCAGAGAAAUGCUUUCAUGUUUUGCAAAGAGUGUUAAAAGGGGUGUGUUUGGGGGAAAGCUUUGUCAAAGCAACUUUCUCGCUACCGGAGAAGCAAGCUAUAAUUUUCCUGCUGUGUUUUGGAUUAUGUUGCAGACCAUGUAUCCAUGAUCCUGGGAAUUUGUCAUGCUCUCUUUGGAUGCUGUUUAUUCCUUGUAAGCUCUGGACUUAUAUCUCAAGACUAUAUUUGUAACUGAUGCUUUUAAUGCUUUACUUUUGGCUUUUUGAAGAACUUUCUACUAUCUAUCUUUAAUAAACUACAAAGACUCAAACCUGUUGUAGAGUUUGUGUGCUAGAGCAAGGUGAAUCAAGGCUGAAGUGCGACACCCCCUGCAGUAGCCCUGUUGUUAUUAAUGGAACAUGGAGAUGCUACUGGGUUGUCUAUGCAGCAUCCUAGGAUGCUGCCACCCCAGUUGAGCAAUGGAGCCCUGCUAGAAGUGAGGCUACAGAGCAUGAUGGGCAGCGUGGAGCUUUGUCACUCAGCUAGGGGAGAAGCGUCCUAGGAUGCUAAAAAAUCCUCGUGUGAUGAGGUCCUAGGACACCAUCCACUCCUUUUUUGAGUCUUGAGGAUAAAACAGGGAAAAGGUGAGUCUCAGAACUGUUGAAAAAUGGCAUAUCCAUGGUUAGCUGUUCUGCAUUUACAUCACUGGGACCUUAGUGGGUUGAAGAAAUAUCACAGCACAUAUUCAUGGACAAUGCUACUUCUUGCUCAAAAUUAAAAUUAUUCUUCAUUACAAGAUCUCUCCUUUUCUUCCAUAUGCCUAUGUUACUUGCCUAUUUCUAAUGAAAUGAGAGAGCAUAGGUUGCGCCUACACCAUUCAGUUAAUGCAAUUUAUAAUAAUAAUAAUAAUAAUAAUAAUAAUAAUAAUAAUAAUAAUAAUAAAAAAAAACUUUAUUUAUAUACCGCCCUAUCUCCCGGAUGGGACUCAGGGCGGUUUACAGUCAUAAAAGCAACACAAACAUUACAUAACAACAUAAUACACAUUAUUAAACAAAGUAAAAUAAUACAAUUAUAACAAUAAAUCACACUUACAUGACCAGAUCAAGGGGACGGGAACCAUAAAGGGAAAUCUUAUGCAAUAUAUUCAGGCUCAGAAGUCGGCGGUAGUCCAAUAUAAUUACUCAAAAACCUGCCGACACCACCAGGUCUUCAGUUCCUUACGGAAAUUGGAUAAUGUAGGGGAUUGCCUGAUCUCUUUUGGCAAUGCAUUCCAGAGCCGGGGGGCCACUGCCGAGAAGGCUCGUUCCCUCGUCCCCACCAGCCGCACUUGAGACGGUGGUGGGAGCGCGAGAAGAGCCUCCCCGGAAGAUCUCAAGGUCCGCACUGGCUCAUAGGAGGAGAUGCGAUCACGGAGAUAGGUAGGGCCCAAGCCGUGUAGGGCUUUAUAGGUCAAAACCUGCACCUUGAAUUGGGCCCACCAGUUUAUCGGUAGCCAUGGCUCAAUGCUAUGGAAUCCUGGGAGCUGUAGUUGAGUAAGGCAUCAGUGGUCUUCGGCAGAGAAGCCUAAAGAUCUCGUAAAGCUGCAACUCCUAUGAUUCCAUAGCAUUGAGCCAUGGCAGUUAAUUGCAUUAAUUCAACAUUAUAAAUGCACCUAUAGUCUCUGGCACUAUUCUAUUUUGAGAUUCAUCAUCCACAAUUCUGCAAUAACUCAGUUUCAUUUCUCCCUGUACAACUUAACACUUGAGAAGCUAUGCCAACAAACUUCGUCUGAGCAAAGCCAAUGGCACAAAUGAUGCCACAUUAACUAUGUUAAUAUCUUUCCCCAAAUUAAAGCCAAAAUUUGAGGUGUGAAAGAGGGAUACAGGUAGUCAGUAUUAUGAUAAUGUGGAAUUGGAAGGUUGAAACCUUAUUUUUACCCCAAUCAUAAUGAAAUAUAUCUGCCUAGAUACUAGGCUCUGGAGUUAAUGGCAGUUUCUGGGAGUAGGGCAGUUUUCACUGAGACAGUGGUAUAUGAGUAAAACAUUAACCUUCCUGUCUAAAUUCUCAUAGUCCUGAUCUUUAUCAGAUCCUUAAUGAUAGGAAUUUAGGAAUAGCAUAAACAAAACCUAAGCACAUCCAAAGCAUUCAUACAUAACAUCACAUCUAGUUUGGUCCUCAAAGUAUCAAGGAUUCAAAUGCUUUGUAACUUGACUGGUUAAACCUAAAAUGGCAUCAACAUUUUUUUUAGUUUUAAAAUUAUUUAAAAUGUUUUUCACGCAUGUAUAAACAAAUGAAGCCUAUAUAUGUGACAUCCACAAAAUUCUCAAAAUUUAUUCUGUAGUACACUCAAGCUAAAGCUUCUAUACUCUUGAAACAAAAGGUGUGUCCCAUUAGACAAAAUUGGUAGAAAAAUUGAGGUUUUCCUCAAACUUGCUUACAUUUUUUGCCAAUUUUAUUAUUAACUUUUAGCUGCUUUCAGAAUAAGCCCCAUGUUUUUUCCUCAAGUAAAAACCAAAAAUAAAUUCAGUUGGGAAUAUUGCUCUGGCUGAAAUUCAGUGGCAUCUUCUUUUAAUUAAAUCAUUGCCUUUGAAGUACAGCUGAAGUUUUGCCCCACUUUCAAUUUAUGGAUGUGAGAAAUAGCGGCUUGAGACUUGGCCCUAAAUGACUGGUUGUCUUUAUCACACAGUGUUAUUCAAUAAAUGGUUGAGGUAGAAUCAAAAGCUCAUUUCUGUUCAUGUGAAUGGAUGCUUUCUUUGUGUCACAGGCAGGAAACAUAGGGAGGUAACCCUGGCCAUAAUGUGUAUUUGUGUGUUUCCUUUUGUAUAAUGAGUCUCUGUUGUCCUUUCACUAAAAAGAUGUGUCUUCCAUGUGGACCUAAGACACUUGAAGUAAUGGAUGUUAGCAUUAUCUGUAUACUGUUUAUUCAUCCCUUAAUACAAAUAUUGUCCCAAGGCAACAUACAAUGAACGGUGGAAUAAUAGUAACAAGUUAAUAAACAACACUGUUGAUAACAAUUAAAAUACUAACAUCUAGAAGCCCAUCAGGAUGUUUCCCAAAGGCUAACUUGUGUUAGAAGGCUAAAGUUGGUGGGAACAACAUUCAGAAAUGAAAAUUAUAGAAAGAGGAAUAAGUGCUGAACAUCUGUUGGACUCUAUCCUACAAGCUGAUGAUACAUGACUCAAGCCCCUUCUACACUGCCACAUAAUCCAGUUCAGAGCAGAUAAUCUGGAUUUUAUGUGACAAUGUAGAUGGGGCCUCAGUGGCAGGAUAGGAGGGAAAUUUCCAUAUUGAGAAGUUAACUGGCACAUCCUUUUCUUUAGUUCAACCAUUCAAAAGUAAGGAGGCAUGCAUUACAUAAAUUUACCUGCAGCAUAGAAGCAAGGUGAGGGAGAAUCAGAUAAACAUAGGUGAUCUUCCUCUUGUUCACAUUUCAAAAAUUGGGGAAAAGCUACCAUGAUCUAGUAUAUAGAAUUCUGCAUAGUAAAAUAAAUGGAUGGAUUAUAGACAAACAGACAGAUAGACAGUAGUAUUAAUUACUCUUUCUAGUGAAUGAAAGUGACUACAUGAUGAAGUCAACAUGUUGUUUUAUGGUCAAAUCAUCUAUGUAGAUGUGUAUGGACACAUACGUAUGUGUUGUUUUUCCAGCUCUCCAAGAACAUCUGCAUUUUAAGUUUGUAAACUCAGAAAACUAUGUGGUGUAGAUGGGCUGGGUUUGUGGGCAUCUAUAUGUCCUCCAGUGCUAUUUCAUGGUAUGAUCAUGAUCCAAGUAUUGUUCAAAUAUAAACUUCAUCAUUAUCUGUGGUUUCAGAUAUCCAUAGGAUGUGUGUCUCUUGAACCAAUUCCACUGUGGAAAAGUGGGGGGGUGGCUGAAUAAAUAAAUAUAAACAUAUUAUUUCUUGCAAACCCAGGGCCAUCCUGGCUUCUCAAAAAACCUGAGAGGUGAAUCAUCCAGAUUAACUGAAUUAUUUUAGUGAUUGAAGCAUGUUUCUGUUUUAAUAUUUGCCUCUUGUACGCUUUAAUUUUAUCAUUUUCAAAGUUCUGAGUUGCUUUGAAUCUCUACCUUCAUGAAAAAGUGGGCAAUGAUAAUAAUAGUAAGAAUAAUAGAGAUAGCCUUAACAGGGCAUGGAUUUGUUCAUUUGUUUGAAUUCAGUAGUUACUUCAGUUUUUAGACCACUAAGUUUCUCUGUGUAACCAGUUCCCCCCUCUUGUUUUCCAGUUGCUCACUAUUUCUUCUUUUAGAGAACACAUUUGAUCAAAGACCAGCUUCCUUCAUCUUUUUGGUACCGUCUUCUCAGUAUCUCCAGUUCCUCUCCAUGUGGUCUUCUGUUCCCCCUUCUAACUGCACUUUGAUUUGACAUUCUGUAUUCCUGUUCCAGCCCAAAUAAUGGACUUGUAGUGCAAAAAGGCACUGAUUUAUUCAUGAGGAGUUUGAAUUCAAAGAAUAUCCUUGAAUUCGAAAGAUGUGACCAUGAUGGCCAGGCAAUCAUGGAGAGCCCUAUGGAGCAGCGGCAACAACAUGCGGACAACUCAUACCUCUCCCUAUGAUGAUCAUUGCAGCAUAAGAUGAUGACAGUGAUGUUCAUGUGGACAUCUGAUCAGUCUAAAUCUACCUGAUCUAGUUUUCUAGACAACAACAAAGACCACAGAUUUUCUGGAGUUUCCUGCAAAUUCUGGAGUAUCCCUCAAUUUUGCUCAGCAUGGGGGAAAGUUAAGUUAAGGGCAAAGGGCUCAGAGUACUUCCUGGAAGCUGCUGUGCAUAAUGAAGGCUGCCAACACUGGAUUCAGGAAGGG